rnacentral:rRNA from 1 species
UACGAAGGGGGCUAGCGUUGCUCGGAAUCACUGGGCGUAAAGGGUGCGUAGGCGGGUCUUUAAGUCAGGGGUGAAAUCCUGGAGCUCAACUCCAGAACUGCCUUUGAUACUGAUGGUCUCGAGUAAGGUAGGGGCAUGCGGAACUGAUGGUGGAGCGGUGAAAUGAUGGUUGAUAUCAUCAGGAACACUCGGUGGCGAAGGUGGGUCUGCUGG